UCAAAGGAAGUUGACGGGGGCCCGCACAAGCGGUGGAGCAUGUGGUUUAAUUCGAUGCAACGCGAAGAACCUUACCUAGGCUUGACAUCUCUGGAAUUUUGUGGAAACACAAAAGUUGCCUUUCGGGGAACCAGGAGACAGGUGCUGCAUGGCCGUCGUCAGCUCGUGUCGUGGGAUGUUGGGUUAAGUCCCGCAACGAGCGCAACCCUUAUCUUUAAUUGCCAGCAUUCAGUUGGGCACUUUAAAGAGACUGCCGGUGACAAGCCGGAGGAAGGUGGGGAUGACGUCAAGUCCUCAUGGCCCUUAUAGGUGGGGCUACACACGUCAUACAAUGGCUGGUACAAAGGGUUGCCAACCCGCGAGGGGGAGCCAAUCCCAUAAAGCCAGUCGUAGUCCGGAUCGUAGUCUGCAACUCGACUACGUGAAGUCGGAAUCGCUAGUAAUCGUGGAUCAGAAUGUCACGGUGAAUACGUUCCCGGGUCUU
rnacentral:rRNA from 1 species